rnacentral:tRNA from 1 species
ACCAGGGUAGCCUAGUGGACAUGGCAUCUGCCCGGUAAGCGGAACAUUGUGGGUUCGUUUCCCAUCCCUGGAU